rnacentral:tRNA from 1 species
UGCGGGGUGGAGCAGUGGUAGCUCGUUGGGCUCAUAACCCAAAGGUCGCAAGUUCGAGUCUUGCCCCCGCUAC